UACGUAGGGCGCGAGCGUUAUCCGGAAUUAUUGGGCGUAAAGAGCUUGUAGGCGGUUUGUCGCGUCUGCUGUGAAAAGUUCGGGCUUAACCCGGACCGUGCAGUGGGUACGGGCUGACUGGAGUGCAGUAGGGGAGACUGGAAUUCCUGGUGUAGCGGUGAAAUGCGCAGAUAUCAGGAGGAACACCGAUGGCGAAGGCAGGUCUCUGGGCUGUUACUGACGCUGAGAAG
rnacentral:rRNA from 1 species